rnacentral:rRNA from 1 species
ACAAAUGACUCUCGGCAACGGAUAUCUUGGCUCACGCAUCGAUGAAGAACGCAGCAAAAUGCGAUACUUGGUGUGAAUUGCAGAAUCCCGUGAACCAUCGAGUUUUUGAACGCAAGUUGCGCCCGAAGCCAUUCGGUCGAGGGCACGUCUGCCUGGGCGUCAC